CCUGGGACUCCGGUCCUGCUUUUACCCUUUUGAAGUCAGAGCCUUGUGGUCAAGGUGAAACUCUGCCUGUGAACUCCUGGAAUAGGGGACCGGGACGGGCAGAGGCCUUGGGGGUGCCUUCUGACCACCCUGCUCUUGCCACGCCUUCAGGAGGCCUUGCCUGGACUCAUCUGGGACCUGGGCCAGCAGCUGGGAGACCUGAGCUUGGAACAGGAAAGUGGGCGCAGCUCAGGCUUCUACGAAGACCCCAGCUCCACGGGAGGUCCUGACUCUCCACCCUCGACCUUCUGUGGGGACAGUGGCUUCUCUGGAUCUGGCUCCUAUGGACGCCUGGGUCCCUCUGAACCCCGGGGCAUCUAUGCCAGCGAGAGGCCCAAGUCCCUAGGAGACGCCAGCCCCAGCGCCCCCGAGGCGGCGGGAGCCCGGGCACCAGUC